rnacentral:rRNA from 1 species
CCUACGGGAGGCAGCAGUGAGGAAUAUUGGUCAAUGGGCGGGAGCCUGAACCAGCCAAGUCGCGUGAGGGAAGACGGUCCUAUGGAUUGUAAACCUCUUUAGGCGGGGAGCAAUGCCGGGCACGUGUGCCCGGCGGGAGAGUACCCGCAGAAUAAGCAUCGGCUAACUCCGUGCCAGCAGCCGCGGUAAUACGGAGGAUGCGAGCGUUAUCCGGAUUUAUUGGGUUUAAAGGGUGCGCAGGCGGAAGAUCAAGUCAGCGGUAAAAUUGAGAGGCUCAACCUCUUCGAGCCGUUGAAACUGGUGUUCUUGAGUGAGCGAGAAGUAUGCGGAAUGCGUGGUGUAGCGGUGAAAUGCAUAGAUAUCACGCAGAACUCCGAUUGCGAAGGCAGCAUACCGGCGCUCAACUGACGCUCAUGCACGAAAGUGUGGGUAUCGAACAGGAUUAGAUACCCGUGUAGUC